GUUACUUCAUGUUUAAAGGUCUCAGUAGGGGCUAACCAAAGUGAGUUGGCCCAAACAUGUGCUCCGAGGCUCACCCUCAAGUUUUGGCAGAACUGGAGCUAAAGGAAGACAGUUCUCGAACCGUUUACAUCAGGAAGAUCAUAUCUAAUAGCUUACGGUCUUAUUAAGACAGGUAAACCCAUAUACCAGCACAUGGAACAAAGCUUUCCCUUUUCAGGGAGUUAUUACUCCCAAACGCAGAAAAUGGUGUACCAGAAGCAUACACUUCUGUAACAGGCACUGGCAGUUCCCAGUGCCAAUAAAUUUUGGAGGUUAAAAUAAUGCUCAGAUAAUGUCGAAGAAAUUAUGAGAGAUCUAUAAGUUUAACUGAACA